GAUGAACGCUGGCGGCGUGCCUAAUACAUGCAAGUCGAGCGAACAGGCGAGAAGCUUGCUCCUCUGACGUUAGCGGCGGACGGGUGAGUAACACGUGGAUAACCUACCUAUAAGACUGGGAUAACUUCGGGAAACCGGAGCUAAUACCGGAUAAUAUAUUGAACCGCAUGGUUCAAUAGUGAAAGACGGUUUUGCUGUCACUUAUAGAUGGAUCCGCGCCGCAUUAGCUAGUUGGUAAGGUAACGGCUUACCAAGGCAACGAUGCGUAGCCGACCUGAGAGGGUGAUCGGCCACACUGGAACUGAGACACGGUCCAGACUCCUACGGGAGGCAGCAGUAGGGAAUCUUCCGCAAUGGGCGAAAGCCUGACGGAGCAACGCCGCGUGAGUGAUGAAGGUCUUCGGAUCGUAAAACUCUGUUAUUAGGGAAGAACAAAUGUGUAAGUAACUAUGCACGUCUUGACGGUACCUAAUCAGAAAGCCACGGCUAACUACGUG
rnacentral:rRNA from 1 species